AUGAAUAUCGCCCUCCUAUCCCGCUGGCUCUGGCGCAUCUCGCAAGGUCACGGUGGCCUCUGGCUCGACAUCAUCCGGAACAAGUACCUACGUGGACAACCCCUUGCCUUCUGUCAAAGAUCGGGCGGUUCCCAGCUCUGGCAGUCGGUCGUCCAACUUCUACCUAUUCUCCGCAUUGGGGCCUCCAUCUCGACGGGCUCCGAGGCGGCGACUUUGUUCUGGUUUGAUCGGUGGACCGGAGACACUCCCUUCGCUGUGCGAUUCCCCGACCUCUUCUCCAUCGCUGUCGACCCUUUGAUUUCUGUUGAGAGGGCCCUUAUUGACUUAGGGCGCCUCGCUUUCUGGAGGCCAUUUGGGUCCCCGGAGUUCGCCGUGUGGCGUGAGUUACUGGAUUGCGUCGCUCUCCACGAGCCGAUGGUGGAUGGUGGCCCAGACCAGGUGCGAUGACGCCUCGAGCCCUCUGGCCAAUUCUCCACCAAGUCUCUCUACCAGGCCAUUGCCCCCUCCUUCGCCCCUCCCUCCUUGGUGUGGUCCAUCCACCUGCCUCUGAAGAUCCGGAUCUUCAUGUGGCAAUGGAUUCGAGGUCGGAUCCCGUCUGGGGUCGAGGUGCACAAGCGAAAUGGCCCGAGCACUGGCCUCUGCCCGUUGUGCGGUAUCCCUAAAGACUCGAAUCACAUCUUCUUCUCCUGCGUGUCCGCUCAAUUUGUUUGGAGCUACUUUCGCGAAGCGGUGGGUGGAAAUUGGUGCCACACCAACUUCCCCGACCUAUUUGCCGAACUCCAGAAAUCCCUUUUGACGUCUCUCCACAUUAGGUGGCUUGAGAUUGGGGUCAUCGCUUGGACCCUCUGGACGAUCCGCAAUAAGCUUGUGAUCCAGCGCACUCCUCUUCGACGGGCUACUGACGCUAUCUUCAAACUGUCCGAUUUCUUGUAG
rnacentral:rRNA from 1 species